rnacentral:misc_RNA from 1 species
UAUAAAUUAAAACAUAGGAAAUAUAAUUAUCAAUACACAAACUAUCAGGGUCUUCUCUUCCAUCAUUUCGUAAGAUUGUUAGCUUACUAACUGAACCAUCAUCACCUGCUUGCUUGAUCACUUUCGUGAUAAAACACUUGAAAUGAUUUGGCUAAUUUGGGUGAGGGGAAUCUUUAAGCUUCUUUCUUUAUAGAUUUAGCCAAUUUUUAGAUUUGAGUUGUGUGAAUUAAAAACCAAAAUCUGAAAAUACCAAAGUUGAGCAUUUUCCUAGUUGCAGAACUUUUAAAAGCAAAAAGGCAAAACAAACGUUUCUUUUUAAGUUGAGAGAAUCCAUGGGGCUAUUUUAGGAAUCCUUCUAUUUCAAGUGAUCCUGUAACCUUUAGAAUUUGGGUCAUCAGCAAUACAACUGGUGCAAGUUGUUAUCCAGCUUUGACUACCACAACAAUUUAGUUGGAUUUCUUUCUUCUUGAUGCUACCUCUGAAGCCCAAGCUUUGCCCACCUCUGUUUGGAACUUACCUGCAGUUGACUGGAAAAAUUCUUCCAAAUCCUUCCCUUGCUCAUUUUCAUAUUCCAAUGCCUGAAGUAUCAUCUCCACCUUGUCGAAGUCCUUCACAACUUUGGCUUCUAAAGAAGAAUUUUCUUCAUAUUCCAUCCAUAAAUCACUGAUUUCCUUGGCUCGGGAUCCUCCACCUAAAAGUUUACACAUGUCUUCUAGUGCUGCUCGCUCUCGUCUACUCUUUUCGUCCUUUGGAACCCCAUCAGCAGGAGUGAUAUCUCCAACAAUUGCUUCUGCAAUGUCAUGCACAAUUGCCAUCUUAACACACUUGUCACGAUCAACUCCAGGAAGGUCAGCAGCAAUAAGAGCCAUUACUCCCAUACGGUACAUGUGAUCAGCUAUAGACUCAGGAUUAUUAACCCCUCUACGUACCCAACCUUCUCUUUUUGUCGUCUUGAGGCGGUGACAAAGUGUUAAAAAAUCGAUGGCAGAGGAAGGAGACGGAGAUGCAGAUGACGACGAUGAAGAUGAAGCUUCGGUAGCCAUACGAGAAACCCUAGGAGAUGAUGAAGACGAAGAAGUUGAAAAGUAUUUGAAUCUGAACUGAGCAGAAA